AUACCAGCACCUGUUUUGAACUGAACUGAAACCAGCAUUCAUAAUGGAGGAUUCCCAGAGUUACAUUUAGGGGGGUGCGGUGGCGCAGUGGGUUAGACCGGGUCCUGCUCUCCAGCGGGUCUGGGGUUCGAGUCCCGCUUGGGGUGUCUUGCGACGGACUGGCGUCCCGUCCUGGGUGUGUCCCCUCCCCCUCCGGCCUUGCACCCUGUGUUGCCGGAGACAUCUUCAGGUUUCCUUCGCUGGUCAAAGCAAAGAGAAACAACGAUGCAAAACCAACAUUCCUUUCACCUGAUGUCGGAUAAACAUAACUGCAACCAAAUCAACAAAUGGAAAAGAAACAAGUAUCUUCUGUAUAUUUUAAUUCCCUGAAUCAUGUAUCUUCUACUCUGAUAGAUAUUGAUCUGUGGAUUUAGUUAAGAUAAUGACACAUAUGGGGUCUUCUUCUUCUUGUCUGUUAAUGUAAUUGAUAACCUGUAGGUAUACUUGGGACUCUAAGCCUUGAUGAUGCGUAUUUUUUGGGAUAACCAUUAAAUGACAUAAAGCAGCUCAAGACAGACCCAGCAGACUUGAGUUACAGCAGUGACUGUACCACUUGUCCGUGUUUACAAACUCCACAGGUGGCCUCCCAGGCCUAAAACCUUGCAGCAGCAUGUCUUCCACUUGUCCACUGUACACAACCAAAUGGCUGGUUCCUUCUCUUUCCAUUUACACACACUCUUGACAGGAUUUUACUGAGGCUGAGAGUCCCCAUUAUCCAGUUUAAUAACUAAACGCUUGGUAGAUUUCAUUCAGUUCUUUUUGUUCUUGUUAGUGUUCUUGCUUUUUUAUUUUUAUUUUGCUUGUAUAAAUUCAUAUGGUAGACAUGUAUGUUGUGAUGUAUAGAAAUAGCUGUAGAAAUGCAUUGUUUCCUUGUGGUAAGUGACUGAGAUGCUGCCACGGAUUUGAGACACUGAUAAAUGGUGCUAUUUUGGAAUUUUAUCUGCUCCUUGGUAAGGUAGCUCAGAUGGGUUUUAUUUACAUUUUUCAUGUUCUAAGAAGGUAUUGGUUCUUUGUUGUCUGGUUGUUGUAACUUGGUCUGGAUUGACUUAUUUUUCUGCCGUUUUCUGUGUGGCUUUCUUAUUGGGUGUAAGAUAAUAAUUAAAUAAAAAUGCAAAAGGCAGAUGGCUCUUAAGAAUA
rnacentral:lncRNA from 1 species